CGCGGAUCGAUGAUGCGAAUAUUAACUGCGUUAUCUUUCUUGAACUUCUAAGUACUGAAGACACCAUAGUUUACUGAGAUCCAAG